UUACAGUGAGUCGAGUCAUAGACAAACUUCCUGUUCUGAAGUCGAUGAUUAUUUUAUGUGACUAACUAUAUCAUGCGAUUUCGCCCGCCUGCAAACCCUCAGGUUGGAGCUUGUCAGAAAUAUGUUGCGUUCGGUGUCGAGCAACAGCGGGAUGUACAACAAACCCUAUAAAAAGUUAACACGCGUUAAAUGCACGGGAUCACUAUUUGUACGAUCCGUACAAACAGACAGACGGACUAUUAACGUAGACACAUUAACGCAAACAAUAUCAACAAUGGAAGACAAUAAGUCAACCUUUGUUUAAAAAGGAAAACCAUUAAAAAUUAUUGGCCAGUCUUAUAGAAACACUGUUUUUGAUGUUACUCAGAAUUCGCUGAAUCUCUUCUGCGCAAACAAGUGAUGUUCUAUAGAUCGUUGAUGAGAGUCGACGGUAGGCUAUUGUUGUUUUUUUAAAUAUCAUUAUUGUCUCGUUCAAUAGUAGAGGUAAUAGUUAGAGAUACAAUUUUUUUCUUACCUGGGGUUAUAAUAUGGAACCUGUAUUUUUUGGAAGUAUUUUUAAUAAAGCAUUUUAAACGAAACCAAAAAUGAGUUGGUCUGUAUUC